CAGGAAUCUUCCACUGCUGCUCCCAUUAUGACAAGACUGCAGGAACUGUAGGUGGCUUUUACAUCAAAUGUCAACCUAGACAUCAGUAUGAAUGAUGAAACCUCCCAGAGCUAUAACAGUGCCCAACAUUAAGAAGAUGACUUCAGGCCCAAUACCCUAUAUACUGUGCUACCUAGCUAUUCAUACUAUGGAAACUCCCUCUACCUAUGCAGGGAUGGAUUCAGAGAAACCUGGAAGGACCAGUAUGAACUGAUAUAGUGAAGUGAGCAGACCCAGAACCAUUAGUACAUUGAUGACAACAUUGUAAAACAAGAUGACUUCAAAAGAAUUAAGAAUCCUGAUGAUCAACCACAUCUCAAAAGCCUGAUGAUAAAUCAUGCUUUCCACUUCUUGACACAUAUUUUCAGAGGUAAUUGGUAUAUUUUUUCUUGAUUAUACUUAUUUGUUACAAGAGAGCUAGGAGGGAACAAGGG
rnacentral:lncRNA from 1 species